AGAUCAUCAGCAUAUUAAUGGAUAUAGAAAAAAGUGAGAAGGAUACAGUAGUAACUCAAGUCAGUUUUGGUGGAUUUGACAUUCACAUCAAGGCGAAAGAUCUUGUGGCAUAUUUGGAAAGUGAGAUUGGACUUGUUUGGAGGUGUAGAUUGAAGACAUCUUGGACCCCCCCAGAGUCCUAUCCAAAUUUUGAGAUAACUAACACUGCAGAUGUCCAAAGAACAGAAGGGCAUAAGAGGAUAGAGCCCCAUGCAUUUGUGCAUUUUGCCUCGCCUGAAUCAGCUACUUGGGCUAAGAAUGCUGCAGGGCGCUGUGAACUUUUCUUGAAUGACAGGCCAUUGAAAGUUAGUCUGGGUCCUGAAAAUCCAUAUCACAUGAAUCAGAGGAGGAGAACAACAACUCCCUUUAAAUUAUCUGAUGUGGGUAUUGAGAUUGGAACUGUUAAUCAUAAUGAAUUCUUGGUUGGUUGGAGAGGACCUUCUGGGGUUGAUUUUCUUGUGGAUCCUUUUGAUGGGACAUGCAAGUUUUGUUUCACAAGGGAUACUGCCUUCUCCUUGAAAGACACAACUGAGUAUGCAGUGAUUAGAUGUGACUUUAAAUUGGAGUUCCUAGUGAGAGAUAUCAAUGAGGUGAAACAGUACACGGAUUGGAGCACCUCAUCGCUGGUGAUCCUGUUACAGCUGGCUUCUGCACCUUGUGUCUGUUAUAGAACUGCUGACGAUGACAUUGAAGUGUCAGUUCCCUUUGAUUUGUUGGAUGACGAUGAUCCUUGGAUCCGGACCACUGAUUUUACACCUAGUGGGGCCAUUGGUCGGUGUAAUUCAUAUCGAGUUUCAGUCCCCCCUCGCCAUGGUGCGAAGUUGAAUAGGGCGUUGAGUUAUCUAAGAGAACAAAGAGUGCAGGUGGAAUUCCUCAAAUUACCUCUUAAGAACUUGAAUGAACCAGAGUAUGGGAUGCCUGUGUCAGAUCCUUUCUUUUGUAUUCAUCACAAGGAAGGGAUAGCUUUUGAGGUAAUGUUCUUGGUGAAUUCUGUCAUGCAUAAAGGAAUAUUCAAUCAACAUCAAUUAUCUGACAGUUUCUUUGAUUUACUGAGAAACAGACCUCUGGACGUUAAUCUGGCAGCAUUGAAGCACAUUUGUUCUUAUAAACGCCCAGUGUUUGAUGCUCAUAAAUGUCUCAAAGCUGUCCAACAAUGGUUACUGAAAAACCCCAAACUUUUCAAGAGCCCUAAACAGCUGGAUGAUAUUGUAGAAAUUAGGCGGUUGGCUAUUACUCCUACCAGAGCAUAUUGCCUUCCACCUGAAGUAGAACUCUCCAAUAGAGUUUUGAGAAAAUAUAAAGACAUUGCCGACCGAUUUCUAAGAGUUACCUUUAUGGAUGAGGGCUUGCAGACAAUCAACGCAAACACUCUCACUUAUUAUGCUGCUCCUAUAGUAAAAGAUAUCACUUCUAACUCUUUCUCUCAGAAGACAAGAGUCUUCAAAAGGGUGAAGGGUAUUCUGACGGAUGGAUUUUAUUUAUGUGGUCGAAGGUACUCAUUUUUGGCCUUCUCAUCCAAUCAAUUGAGAGAUCGUUCUGCAUGGUUUUUUGCUGAAAAUGAGAAUAUUAGUGUUCAUCAAAUCAGAAACUGGAUGGGUAGGUUCACCAAUAAGAACAUUGCAAAAUGUGCUGCUAGGAUGGGCCAGUGUUUCUCCUCUACAUAUGCGACUGUAGAUGUUCCACUAGCAGAGGCUGAUCUUUCCCUUCCUGAUAUUGAAAGGAACGGUUAUACAUUUUCUGAUGGUAUUGGUAUUAUAACUCCAGAUCUUGCAAAGGAAGUUGCAGAAAAGUUGAAAUUGGAUGCUAAUCCACCAUGUGCUUACCAGAUUAGGUACGCAGGAUGUAAAGGGGUUGUGGCUUGCUGGCCAGCACAGGGUGAUGGGAUCCGCCUAUCGUUAAGGCCCAGUAUGGACAAGUUCCAUUCAAACCACACCACUUUGGAAAUCUGCUCAUGGACCAGGUUUCAGCCUGGUUUCUUGAAUAGGCAGAUUAUUACGUUGCUUUCCGUUUUGAAAGUUCCAGAUGAAAUAUUUUGGAAAAUGCAGAUUGCUAUGGUCUCCAAACUAGAUCAGAUGCUCAUGGAUGCUGAUGUAGCAUUUGAUGUUAUCACUGCAUCAUGUGCUGAGCAAGGUAAUACUGCAGCAAUAAUGUUGAGUGCAGGUUUCAAGCCCCAGAAGGAACCUCACUUACGAGGCAUGCUAACUUGUAUAAGAGCUGCACAGCUUUGGGGCCUCAGAGAAAAGGCUAGAAUCUUUGUUCAUUCAGGGAGAUGGUUGAUGGGCUGCUUGGAUGAGCUAGGGGUGCUUGAACAAGGACAAUGCUUUAUACAAGUGUCGAACCCAUCUUUGGAAAACUGUUUCUUGAAGCAUGGCUCAAGGUUUAGUGAGGCUAAGAAAAAUCUACAAGUAAUCAAGGGUACUGUGGUGAUAGCUAAGAAUCCUUGUCUUCAUCCUGGAGAUAUAAGGAUCCUGGAAGCAGUUGAUGCUCCUGGACUGCACCAUUUACAUGAUUGCCUUGUCUUCCCACAGAAGGGUGACAGGCCUCACACAAAUGAAGCUUCUGGAAGUGACCUUGAUGGAGAUCUAUACUUUGUGACAUGGGAUGAAAACCUACUUCCACCAAGCAAGAAGAGCUGGACACCAAUGCAAUAUGAUGCUGCAGAAGCCAAGCUCCUACAUCGGCCUGUCCGUUCUCAGGUAGUUAUUUGCUCAAUAUGUGCUGUCUUUGAAGUUUAUUGGACAAUUUUGUUUUAGUGGUGAUAUAAUGUGUACUGGUUAGUAAUUUAUACUUGCUAUCUUUAUUAACAUCUGUUUUUCCUGUUAUUAUCCCCCAUACAAGUAUUGGGUGAACUGAUGCCUGACUCUAAUAUACUGUGACAGUUGAAAAAACUCUUGGUAGGGAGGAUGAUACUAAUGCUAAUAUUCUUGAAACAAACAGAAUCUGUUAUAUUCAUAUAUCUAGGACAUUAUUAUAAUUCGUUGGUGUAAUAUUAUGUGAUCUUCUGAGGAACCAGCUUUGUUGCACAUUAGAUGGCACCAUGGUAAGUUUAUUUAUUUUUUUAUUAUUUGCUACUGCAUGAAACAUGUAAAUUAUGUAUUAGCUUAAUUUUGGAAUCUACAAAAAACAUCAUGAGGUUCCUCAAAUGUCUCCACCCCAAUAAGCCGUAUUAUUGUGUUGUUAACUGCAAUAUUUAGAUACGAGAGCAAAGCAAGUUGAUGGAAUGAGAUCAUUUUGUUUAGUUGUGCCUAGAAAAUGAUGAAAGAUAGAUUACAGUGUCAACAAUGAAGUGUACUUAGUGUAGUCUUACUCAAGAUUCAGAUCCAAGGGUCAGUUUAUUAUACCUUUAGUUGAGGAAUACACCAUUUAGAAUUCCAAUUUUGCCACAGAAAAAGAUCUGACUAUUUCUGUGUCUUAUGUGCAGGAUAUUAUAGAUUUUUUUGCAAAGCACAUGGUAAACGAGAAUUUGGGGGCAAUUUGUAAUGCUCAUGUUGUUCAUGCUGACUUGAGUGAACAUGGGGCUUUGGAUGAGAAUUGCAUAAAACUGGCAGAGUUAGCAGCCACAGCUGUUGACUUUCCUAAGACUGGGAAGCUUGUAACUAUGCCACAUUCUCUGAAACCAAAAAUGUAUCCAGAUUUUAUGGGGAAGGAGGAUUAUCAGUCCUACAAGUCGACCAAAAUUUUGGGAAGACUUUAUCGACAGGUUAAAGAUGCUUAUGAUGAUAAUGUUGAGUCUGCAUCUUCAGAGCUCAACAUUGUUCCUGGUGACAUCCCUUAUGAUAGGGAUUUGGAGGUUUUCGGAUCAUCUGAUUACAUUCUGGAUGCCUGGGAUCAAAAGUGCUCAUAUGAUGGGCAGCUGAAAGGUCUUAUGGGGCAGUAUAAAGUGAGAAGAGAAGAAGAGGUGGUAACUGGUCACAUUUGGUCCAUGCCAAAGUACAACAGCAGGAAGAAUGGAGAAUUGAAAGAGAGGCUUAAGCAAUCUUACAGUGGUCUCAAGAAAGAAUUUAGGCAGGUUUUUGAGAAGAUGGAUUUGGAUUUUGAACAGCUCCCAGAUGAUGAGAAAAACUUGCUGUAUGAGCGAAAGGCAUCAGCAUGGUACCAGGUUGCUUACCAUCCCAGUUGGAUAAAUAAGUCACUGGAGUUGCAAGGGCCUGAAGCUGCUGACAAUGCUGCAAUGUUGAGCUUUGCUUGGAUUGCAGCUGAUUACCUUGCUCGGAUUAAGAUAAAAUGCAGGGGAAUUGAAGGUGUUGGCACUGCUAAGCCUGUCAACUCACUGAUGAGGUACCUGGCUGAUCGGAUCUGACCAGCAUCGGAAGCCUUGUCUUUUGUGGUUAUGUCAUGCUUAUUGGCUGCAAGUCCACUCUGCCAUUGUUGAGUCUUAGUCUUGUAUUAAAGUUGCAAUAUGGCUCAUAGCCAUUUUCAUGCUUUUCUCUCUAUCCCAAAAAAAUAAUAGUAAUAAAAUUUAUUUUAAUUACUAAGAUCUGGUCAGUACUUUGGUUGCCUUGUUCUCUAGGCACAUUGAUGUUGAAUAAAAUUUUAUGGUGGACCACAUAGUGGUAUUCAGGCGUCACAAUUGAACUGUUUUAAGUUGGAACUUGGUUUUUAAAUGUUCCUACAGUAUAUGAUGCAGGUAACUAUUUUUCUGGAU
rnacentral:misc_RNA from 1 species